CACCAAGAAAUUAAGUUAUAUAUUUUAUGGUAAAAAGACAGUUAGAUGUUAUUUUGUUUUAGGUCAAUUUUAAUGCUUUGUAUAGAGGUAAAAUUUAAGUAUAAUUGUAUAAUUUGUUUAUGGCUUGUAGGUUGAGUCUGUGAAAUCCUUAUGGGAAACUGGGAUUAGGUACCCCAUUAUUUUUGGAUAUAAAAUUAAUUAGAUUUACCGGAGUACUAUGAAUAGAAAAAUUUAAAACUCAAAGAACUUGGCGGUGUUUUAGACCCCUCAGGGGAACCUGUCUCGUAAUCGAUAGUCCACGUUGUACCUGACCUCUUUUUGUUUUCAGUUUGUAUACCGUUGUCGUCAGGUAACUUUUUAGAAAUUAGAAGUUAGCGGUGGAAAUGAGAGUGAUUUAAUACGUCAAAUCAAGGUGCAGCUAAUAAAGAGGGGAGGAUGGGUUACAAUUAUAUGAUUUGUAAUGACGGAUAAAUGUAUGAAAUGUGUAUUAAAUUGUAAGGCGGACUUGAAAGUAAAUUAGAUUAUGUAAAUAGUUUGAAUAUGGCUCUGAAACGUGU
rnacentral:rRNA from 1 species